UGGGGAAUAUUGCACAAUGGGCGCAAGCCUGAUGCAGCCAUGCCGCGUGUAUGAAGAAGGCCUUCGGGUUGUAAAGUACUUUCAGCGGGGAGGAAGGGAGUAAAGUUAAUACCUUUGCUCAUUGACGUUACCAGCAGAAGAAGCACCGGCUAACUCCGUGCCAGCAGCCGCGGUAAUACGGAGGGUGCAAGCGUUAAUCGGAAUUACUGGGCGUAAAGCGCACGCAGGCGGUUUGUUAAGUCAGAUGUGAAAUCCCCGGGCUCAACCUGGGAACUGCAUCUGAUACUGGCAAGCUUGAGUCUCGUAGAGGGGGGUAGAAUUCCAGGUGUAGCGGUGAAAUGCGUAGAGAUCUGGAGGAAUACCGGUGGCGAAGGCGGCCCCCUGGACAAAGACUGACGCUCAGGUGCGAAAGCGUGGGGAGCAAACAGG
rnacentral:rRNA from 1 species